UACGUAGGUCCCGAGCGUUGCCCGGAUUUAUUGGGCGUAAAGCGAGCGCAGGUGGUUUAUUAAGUCUGGUGUAAAAGGCAGUGGCUCAACCAUUGUAUGCAUUGGAAACUGGUAGACUUGAGUGCAGGAGAGGAGAGUGGAAUUCCAUGUAUAGCGGUGAAAUGCGUAGAUAUAUGGAGGAACACCGGUGGCGAAAGCGGCUCUCUGGCCUGUAACUGACACUGAGGCUCAAAAGCGUGGGGAGCAAACAGG
rnacentral:rRNA from 1 species